GAGGAAGCCAGUCACCAUGUCAUGGGGACACUUACAAAGCCAUGUAGAGGCUUGCAGGGAGGAAUGUGGUAUUCUCUCAGCACCGAGCACCAAAUGGUGUGCAUUACUUUGGAAUUAAAUCCUUCAGCAGCAGACAAGCCUUGAGAUAACUGCAGUCCAGCUGACAUCCUGACUGCAACCUCAUGAGAGGCCCCAAGCCCCAGUUGCCCAACUAAACCACUUCUUAAUACCUGACUCAUAGAAACUGUGAGAGAUGAUAAAUUGCUACAUUUUGAGCCACUUUGGGAUGGAGGGUCUGGUAGAUAGAUGGAUUCGGACAGUCAGAGAGACGAGUCUCGGCAGCAAGAUGGUUGAGAAAAGAAGAUAAGCAUGAAGGGGACUGCCAUAGAUUCUCAAGGGACUCUAGGCUCACUGAGAUCUGGCUCAUUACGAUGUCAAGAACUAAGGUGAGCCUCCAGAAAUCUACACCCAGGGACUGGCUCAUGCUGUGGGCAAAUAUACCUUACUAAGAAUGUGUCUACCUUGUUUGUUGAAACAAUUUGUUGCAUGUUUGUUAGGCACUGUGAAAAAUUAAAAGAAAUAGAUGAC
rnacentral:lncRNA from 1 species